rnacentral:rRNA from 1 species
UGGGGGAUAUUGCACAAUGGGCGAAAGCCUGAUGCAGCGACGCCGCGUGGGGGAUGAAGGCCUUCGGGUUGUAAACUUCUUUUGCUCUGAACAAGGCAUGCUAAUGGGUGUGUUGAGUGUAGGGGUUGAUUAGCGCCGGCUAACUACGUGCCAGCAGCCGCGGUAAUACGUAGGGCGCGAGCGUUGUCCGGGAUUAUUGGGCGUAAAGGGCUUGUAGGUGGCUGGUUGCGUCUGUCGUGAAAGCUCAUGGCUUAACUGUGGGUUUGCGGUGGGUACGGGCUGGCUUGAGUGCAGUAGGAGAGGCGGGAAAUCCUGGUGUGGCGGUGGAAUGCGCAGAUAUCAGGAGGAAUACCGGUGGCGAAGGCGGGUCUCUGGGCUGUUACUGACACUGAGGAGCGAAAGCAUGGGGAGCGAACAGG